CGCUGAAGGCAGAGCCGCGGAUGUUGGUCGCUCCUCAUAACAGAAAUAUCUCUGGCAGCGGAAUUCGUGGCUGACGCGAAUUUUUCAUCUUCUGCUUUGUAGUUCAAUUCAUCACAACUAUAUUUUAAUAUAAACAUAAUUUUAAAAAGUGUGUGAUAUUAAAGAAGUAGCGCUUGACCAUCAAAGGCACUGUAAAUCAUAAAGGAAGCACAUGUCGUAAACGGUGCUGUUAGCGGAAGUUGCGUACGUUCUGCGUCUCAGUUCAUCUGGUGUCUUCCGGCAGCGAGGAGCCGCGUGUGAGAGAGCCGAGUUCCCGCCGAAAGAUGCACCGCUGGUGAAGGAGCGUCUCUAGGAUCAGCAGAUGAUCUGUUUGAAGCACAGCAGUUCAGACCAGCAUGUAAUUCAAUGCAUUUCUGAUGCAUGCCACUGCUCUUACUGUUAUACACGUGUCCCAACCUGCAUUUAUUGCCAUUUCACUCAGAGAUGCAUCAUAAUAUUAAUGUAUAAUCAGGCACAGCUUCUGUUUUAUGCCGUCUGAUGAAGCUGAGUUUAUACCUCAUUAUGUGUAGAUUAUGUCAAUAAAGCUUCUGGCGUGUUUUAAAGAU